GAGAUGAUGGCUCAGCAGUUAAGAGCACUGGCCACUCUUCCAGAGGUUCUGGGUUCAAUUCCCAGCAACCACA
rnacentral:tRNA from 1 species